rnacentral:rRNA from 1 species
UUUCAAGAACCAAGCCAUGCAUGUCUCAGAGUAAAUGGAGCACAGUAGGUCUGUGUACGGCUCAUUAUAUCAGCUACAAUCUGACCCGCGAAGCGGGAUGGCUUCCCAUCCCCCCACUCGGAUAACCUGAUGGAAUCCGGAGGCCAAGACGUGGAAGAGCAACCUUUCCUCCACCUCAACACCAAAGGGAAACCAGCGGUGCGGAGGAUGGGUGCAUCCGACCGACACAAAAGCCAACGCCCACUGGGCAGCGUGUAUUGAUGACUCAGGUUGCUGGCCCGUCGCCGGUAGAAUUUCUGCCCUAUCAGCUCCCGAUGGUAGUGUCGUGGACUACCAUGGCGGUCACGGGUAACGGAGUAUUGGGGUACGAUUCCGGAGAGGUGGCCUGAGAGACGGCCGCCACAUCCAAGGAAGGCAGCAGGCGCGCAAAUUGCCCACUAACAACACUGUUGAGGCANCGNCGAGAAAUAACAACAGCGUGCGGUCCUACGAUCCAUGCAGAUCGUAAUGGACGAUACCCAAACCCAUCGGUGAGUAUCUAUCUGGAGGGCAAGUCUGGU